UAGGGAUAUUGGUAAUGGGCGCAAGCCUGAACCAGCAACGCCGCGUGUGCGAUGAAGGCCUUCGGGUUGUAAAGCACUUUUGACCGGGACGAGGAAGGACGGUACCGGUGGAAUAAGCCUCGGCUAACUACGUGCCAGCAGCCGCGGUAAAACGUAGGAGGCGAGCGUUAUCCGGAUUUACUGGGUGUAAAGCGCAUGCAGGCGGUCGGCGAAGUUGGAUGUGAAAGCUCCUGGCUUAACUGGGAGAGGUCGUUCAAAACUGGCCGACUAGAGGAUGGUAAGGGAAAGCGGAAUUCCGGGUGUAGUGGUGAAAUGCGUAGAUAUCGGGAGGAACACCAGUGGCGAAGGCGAUCUUCUGGUCUGUUUCUGACGCUCAGACGCGACAACUAGGGUAGUAAACGGGAUUAGAGACCCCGGUAAUCCUAGCCGUAAACGAUGUGAACUUGGCGUUGGUGGCUUAAACACCAUCAGUGCCGAAGCAAACGCGAUAAGUUCACCGCCUGGGGACUACGGCCGCAAGGUU
rnacentral:rRNA from 1 species